rnacentral:rRNA from 1 species
UGAGAGGAGGUGCAUGGCCGUCGUCAGUUCGUACUGUGAAGCAUCCUGUUAAGUCAGGCAACGAGCGAGACCCACGCCAACAGUUGCCAGCUCGUCCUCCGGGGAUGGUGGGGACACUGUUGGGACCGCCUCUGCUAAAGAGGAGGAAGGAAUGGGCAACGGUAGGUCAGCAUGCCCCGAAUUAUCUGGGCUACACGCGGGCUACAAUGGGUGGGACAAUGGGUAUCGACACCGAAAGGUGAAGGCAAUCUCCUAAACCCAUCCGUAGUUCGGAUUGUGGGCUGCAACUCGCCCACAUGAAGCUGGAAUCUGUAGUAAUCGUGUCUCAAAAUGGCACGGUGAAUAUGUCCCUGCUCCUU